UACGUAGGUGGCGAGCGUUGUCCGGAUUUACUGGGCGUAAAGAGCGCGCAGGCGGCUGGUCAAGUCCGAUGUGAAAGCUCCCGGCUUAACUGGGAAAUUGCAUCGGAAACUGAUCGGCUGGAAGGUGGGAGAGGGUAGCGGAAUUCCCGGUGUAGUGGUGAAAUGCGUAGAUAUCGGGAGGAACACCAGUGGCGAAGGCGGUCUGCUGGGCAGUUGCUGACACUGAUGCGCGACAGCGUGGGGAGCAAACAGG
rnacentral:rRNA from 1 species